rfam:Candidatus Harrisonbacteria bacterium RIFCSPLOWO2_01_FTLL_40_28 rifcsplowo2_01_scaffold_44354, whole genome shotgun sequence.
AAAUGCCACUAUGGGCGUAUGGUGGAUGCCUUGACAUCACGUGGCGAUGAAGGACGCGGCGUAGCUGCGAUAAGUCUCGGGGAGGUGCCUAGCAACCUACGAUCCGGGAAUCUCCGAAUGGGAAAACCCAUCCCGAUAAAAUCGGGAGAUCCUAGCUCUUGAAGUUAGGAUGCGCACCCAGGGAAGUGAAACAUCUCAGUACCUGGAGGAAAAUAAAACAAUAGUGUAUUCCCUUAGUAGCGGCGAGCGAAGAGGGAUUAGCCCAAACCUAUGACUAUGUUCGCAAGAAUGUAGCUAUGGGGGUAGUAAGACAGAAUAUUUAUAAUUGGUUACAAAUUGCUUUGUUAGUCGAAAUUGCUGGAAAGCGAUGCCAUAGAGAGUGAUAGCCUCGUAGACGAAAACGAAGCAACCAAUUUUUCUGUUCUUGAGUACUUCGAGGUCAAGAAGCCUCGGAGGAAUCUGCGAGUACUAUCUCGUAAGGCUCAAUACACGUGAUGAUCGAUAGUGAACUAGUACCGUGAGGGAAAGGUGAAAAGCAGCCCGGCGAGGGCGAUGAAAUAGUACCUGAAACCAUAUGUCUACAAGGAACUAAACUCCGCAAGGAGAAUAGUGUGCCUAUUGAAGAAUGAGCCAACGACUUUAUGUUUGUUGCUUGUCUAAUCUUGAUCAAUCAGGAGAAGGCGUAGGGAAACCAAGUCUUAAUAGGGCGAUGUUCCGAUUUAUCGGAACGCGGCAGCAGGCAUAAGACUCGAAACCGGGUGAGCUUGCCUUGGCCAGGAUGAAUUUCGGCGAAAGCCGGAAGGAGGUCCGAACCGGUGGGUUGUGCAAAACCUUCGGAUGAGCUGAGGUAAGGAGUGAAAAGCUAAUCGAACUCGGUAAUAGCUAGUUCUCUCCGAAAUAGUUUUAGGACUAGCGGUUGCGUAAUAAUAUACAAGGGGUAGAGCACUGGAUGGUUUUCACAGGGCGCAAGCUCGGACGACCAAUCAAACUCCGAAUACUUGUAUAUCUUGCAACUGGUCAGGCUGUGGGGGCUAAGCUCCAUAGUCGAGAGGGGAAGAACCCAGAUCGUCGUCUAAGGUCCCCAAAUGUAUGCUGAGUGUGAAAGGUGGUCGUCUGCCAUAGACAGAUAGGAGGUUGGCUUAGAGGUAGCCAUCCUUUAAAGAGUGUGUAACAACUCACUAUUCGAUGGCCGGCGGCGCCAAAAAUGUAACGGGGCUAAGCAUACUACCGAAGACACGGGUAUAUGGAUUUCAUAGAGGAACACGAUGGUUCUGUAGCUUAAUAGCACUUUAUCUCUACUAAGUGGGAUAUAGUGCGCGGCAGAGCGUUCGUCCGCGACGAAGGGUUGGAGGUUCAAGUCCUCCCAGAACCAUCAAUUAGUUCUUUUAUUUGGCGAGUCGAUACUCGCCUCCUCUAUGAAAUCCAUAUGCGGUAGGAGAGCAUUUCGCUCGCAGUGAAGGUUGACCCGUGAGGGCGACUGGAGCGUGCGGAAGUGAGAAUGUUGGCAUGAGUAACCACAAAUUUAGUGAGAAACUAAUUCCCCGAAAAUCCAAGGUUUCCGUGGCAAUGACAAUCAACCACGGGUUAGGCGGUCCUAAGGCAAUGGCGAAAGCCGCAGCUGAUGGAUAGCCGGUUAAUAUUCCGGCCCUGACUUAGUAGAUCCCGGUGCAAAUCGGGAUCGAGUGGAGGGACGAAGGAAAUAAGAAGGAGUGUAUUAAUGGUUUUACAUUAUUGAUUCUGAGGCGUGUUCGUUUGGUAAAUCCGGCGAACUCUCUUUAAUGAGGAACGUCGUGAAUUGAUAAAAGAUCGGGUUUUACUCGAUCAAUUCUUUCGAAGAGCCUUCCGAGAAAAUCUUCGCAUCCUUGUAAUUUUCUAGUUGAUGAUAAUGAGAUUCUCAUUGUCAUUGACUAGAUACAUUACGAGUUACUAGGCCAUCCGUACCGUAAACCGACACUGGUGGGUGAGGCGAGAAGCCUCAGGGGAACGGGUAAUUCCUCGUUAAGGAACUCAGCAAAAAAGCGGCCGUAAGUUAGCGAUAAGGCCUUCCCGAUACCUGCGAUUAUAUCAAAGGAAAUCGGGAUGCAACUAAAGUCUCUCUGGCGACUGUUUACCACAAACACAACUCCCUGCGAACUCGCAAGAGGAUGUAUAGGGGGUGACGCUUGACCGAUGCGAGAAGGUUAACGGUGGGGGUCUUAGAAAAAGCAAUUUUUUUAAGGCUCACUGCCCGAAGCCCUCGUCAAUGUCAGCGAUAACUAUAAUCGUUCUAAGGUGAAUUACUGUUGCCUUAGUAAAACUCAGCUGUAUGCUGGAACAACCGUGUAUCCAAUGCUACUAAGAUGAGUAACAAUGCAAUUGGUGCGGUCAAUCAGCAGGAAACCUACUUGGUAAGUGGGGAUCCUCAGAGACUAUACGCUGAGAUCUCGAUCGAUUCGAGAUAAGAUAUAGUCCGAUCUCUAUGGCGACAUAGAGAGAUAGGCAGAAAUGACCUAUUCGUUCCAUAACGAAAUAAUGGGAUAAGUAACAAUCGUGAGCGCAAUUCCUUUCCGGGUAAGUUCCGGAGCGCAUGAAAAGCGUAACGAUCAGAGAACUGUCUCAACGAGGAGCCCGGUGAAAUUGCGAUUCCCGUGAAGACGCGGGAUACUGGCAGCGGGACGAAAAGACCCCGGAAGCUUUACUGUAGCUUGGUAUUGGUUUUAGACUGUGGAUGCGUAGCGUAGUGGAGAGGCUUUGAAGUUUCGAUUUCGGUCGAAAUGGAGCCGCCAAUGAAACAUCCAUCUUCCAUAUUUUAAAACCUAACCUCGACGGAAAAAACGUCGAGGGACCGUGCCUGGUGGGCAGUUUUUCUGGGGCGGAAUCCUCCUAAAGAGUAACGGAGGAGUCUAAAGGUCGGCUAGGGUCGGAUGGAAAUCGACCUGAUUGUGUAAAGGCAAAAGCCGGCUUAACUGCAAGACCUACAAGUCGCGCAGUUGCGAAAGCAGAGCUUAGUGACCCGAUGACUCUUGAUAGAAAGGUCAGAGACAACGGAUAAAAGCUACUCCGGGGAUAACAGGCUGGUGAGAUCUGAGAGUUCCUAUCGACGAUCUCGCUCGGCACCUCGAUGUCGGCUCGCCCUAGCGCGGGGCUGGAGAAGGUCCCAAGCGUGUGGCUGUUCGCCACUUAAAAGGGCACGUGAGCUGGGUUCAGACCGUCGUGAGACAGGUCGGUCUCUAUCUGCUGUCAGCGUUAAAUACUUGAGGGAAGUCGUCUCUAGUAAAAAUUUGCUACUUCACGAAGUAAUUCGUGAUGAAAAUGCAGCUAAUAACGGUGGAAUCUUAGUCAUUUUUGGUUCGUUGAUAAUCAUUGAUUGUUGCGGUCCAGCAUUCAUGAUACAAUUCACUUGAGGACCAGAAUUAAUUAAGACAAUACCGUGGGAAGUCGAUUUAAGAUUAAUUUAGCAUACAUAGCGGGUUUUCUUGAUGGAGAUGGUAGUUUGAUGCUUCAAAUAAAGAAGAGAAAAGAUGGAAGAUUUCAUUAUAGAUUUAUGGCUACUAUUUGUUUUUAUCAAGAUAGUCGUCAUGAAAAAUCUCUACAUUGGAUCAAAAAAGUUUUAGGUGUUGGUUAUUUAUCCACACGUAAUGACGGAAUGAGCGAACUAAGGAUAAAUGGCUUUGAGGCAAUUCAUGAAAUUAUGAAAAAUUUACUGCCAUAUAUUAGAUUUAAGAAAAAUCAGGCGCAAGCCAUUUAUAAAUCUGUUAAUCUUCUUGCUAAAAAAAGAAUUAAUGGAUUAACAAAGAAAGAUCUCUUAAGGCUAGUUAAGUUGAUUUUAAUUAUUCAAAAAAAUAAUUAUGCAACACGAACAAAGAAAACAGAAAGUGAGUUGUAUGCAAUCUUAGGUUUGACCCCGUAACGACUGAGCUUAAUCCCAUUUAUGGGAUGAUGCGAGAUGGAAAUUUAAUAUGUUUUCAUAAUACGCUGCCUCCCGAUGUUUAUCGGGAUGAAGAUAUAGUCUAAGCACGUAGUGAUACGUGGUAAAUUGACGAGAGGACCGAGAUGAACAAACCUCUGGUCUACCGGCUUUGGUACCAACUGAACACGCCGGGUAGCUAUGUUUGGACGGGAUAAGUGCUGAAAGCAUCUAAGCACGAAGCCCACCCCAAGAUAAGGUAUUGUUCUGAGCAAUCAGGACGGGACUCCUGGAAGACUACCAGGUUGAUAGGCUCUCGGUGUACGCUCGGUAACGAGUUUAGCCAAGGAGUACUAAUGUUCUUACGGCAACUUUUC